rnacentral:rRNA from 1 species
UACGUAGGGUGCGAGCGUUAAUCGGAAUUACUGGGCGUAAAGCGCGCGUAGGUGGUUCAGUAAGUUGGAAGUGAAAUCCCCGGGCUCAACCUGGGAACUGCAUUUGUGACUGCAAGGCUAGAGUACGGCAGAGGGGGAUGGAAUUCCGCGUGUAGCAGUGAAAUGCGUAGAUAUGCGGAGGAACACCAAUGGCGAAGGCAAUCCCCUGGACCUGUACUGACGCUCAUGCACGAAAGCGUGGGGAGCAAACAGG